UUUAGUUUUCCAUUGAAUGGCGCUAAAAUGAGGAAGCUAAUGAAAGAAAAUCCUCAAUUCUAUGAUGUCUCUCUUCUCACUGACACUUACUAUCGAUAUUUCGAGAUUGGUGUGGGGCAUUUUAUUACACAUGGUGGAUCACUAAACUACGCAAACACUUACGACUUUAAAAAGUACAGUGGGAUGUUAGCUGGCGCUCCUGAUCCAUCGAGUAAUACAGCAAAGAUUCGGUC